AAUGAUGGCUUGUUAUCCCUGUCUGAGGCUAACCUCCUGAUUAGACGAUUUGGCAGAGC
rnacentral:snoRNA from 1 species